ACCAACUGCUCCGAAACAUGUUGC
rnacentral:siRNA from 1 species